UGAGGAAUAUUGGGCAAUGCCCGAAAGGGUGACCCAGCAACGCCGCGUGGAGGAUGAAGGUCGUAAGAUUGUAAACUCCUGUUAGAGGGGAAGAAUAGUACCGGUUGGACCGGUAUAUGACUGUACCCUCAGAGAAAGCCCCGGCUAACUACGUGCCAGCAGCCGCGGUAAUACGUAGGGGGCAAGCGUUGUCCGGAUUUACUGGGUGUAAAGGGCGCGCAGGCGGGAUAAAAAGUCAGUGGUGAAAUCCUACAGCUUAACUGUAGAACUGCCGUGGAUACUUUUAUUCUUGAGUUCGGGAGAGAGAGACGGAAUUCCAGGUGUAGUGGUGAAAUACGUAGAUAUCUGGAAGAACACCAGUUGCGAAGGCGGUCUCUUGGUCCGACACUGACGCUGAGGCGCGAAAGCGUGGGGAGCAAACA
rnacentral:rRNA from 1 species